GCAGCCUGGCUUCGACAUCCCAGGGAAUUGCGUCACUCCCAUUGGGCAGCUGUGGUGGCCUCUCCCACAUGGCCCAGGUCUACAGCUCCAUUAAAGGUCACACAGCCCAGACAAAAAUAGGACAGAGCAGCGUGUCAACAAGCCAGGCUUUCUCCUUCCUUCCACGUAAUAAAAGGUGCCUCAGCUUGUUGAAACACAGUCCAUUUCCCCUGGGAUAGAACAGGAAUGACAGGAAUUUUAGGGAUGCUGACUUUCAAGGAAUACCACAUGACAGGCAUCAAGAUAAACCUGAUGAAGAGAUCACAAGCCAGAAUCUGGGAAUCAGCAGCAAAGUGACUCAGCUUCGGGGACAGGCAUGUGAUGAGGUCAUGAUGGAGGAGACCCCCUGCAGGGCCAGAGAUCCCUGCCCCCUGGGCUGUUCUGUCUCUUUCAGAACCUGCCCUUGGGACAGGAUUGAGCAGGUGCCUGUGUGCGCAGAAGCCCUUGUGUGAGAGCCCUUUGGGUACCAUGUUUGCAGCACGAUCGUCUGAGACCCCUCACAGCCGCUUGGUUCGGCCUCUCCCUCCUCUCUCUCCUGGGGCACAUCAUCCCUCACCACUGGAAGGAAUUACAAGUAUUGUGUAAACAAUUACAAGUAUUCUACAAACAAUGAA